rnacentral:rRNA from 1 species
UACGUAGGGGGCAAGCGUUGUCCGGAAUCAUUGGGCGUAAAGCGCGCGUAGGCGGCCAGAUAAGUCCGGUGUGAAAGUCACAGGCUCAACCUGUGAAUGCCGCUGGAAACUGUCUGGCUUGAGUCCGGAAGGGGCGAGUGGAAUUCCUGGUGUAGCGGUGAAAUGCGCAGAUAUCAGGAGGAACACCAAUGGCGAAGGCAGCUCGCUGGAACGGUACUGACGCUAAGGCGCGAAAGCGUGGGGAGCGAACAGG